CCUACGGGGGGCUGCAGUUAAGAAUCUUGCACAAUGGGGGCAACCCUGAUGCAGCGACGCCGCGUGAAUGAUGAAGGCCUUCGGGUUGUAAAGUUCAGUAAGCAGGGAAGAAUAAGCAACGGGAAAUAUUCGUUGUGAUGACGGUACCUGCCUAAAGCCCCGGCUAACUACGUGCCAGCAGCCGCGGUAAUACGUAUGGGGCGAGCGUUGUUCGGAAAUAUUGGGCGUAAAGGGCGUCUAGGCGGGGGAUGAAAGCCACGGGCUCAACCCGUGAACUGCAUCGAAGACUGGUUCUCUUGAGUUCGGGAGAGGAGAGCGGAAUUCCAGGUGGAGCGGUGAAAUGCGUAGAUAUCUGGAAGAACAACAGUGGCGAAGGCGGCUCUCUGGCCUAGAACUGACGCUGAAGCGCGAAAGCGUGGGGAGCGAACAGGAUUAGAUACCCCAGUAGUC
rnacentral:rRNA from 1 species